ACCAUUCUUGUGUUGAUUUUUUUUUUUUCCGUUUUCUUGGAAAAUACAUUAUUUGAACGUUUUGCAGCUUCCAUCUAUUUUCCCCAGCUCUGUAUUUUUCCCCUUGAUUUCUUCUCUAAUGGCAAAAAGACCCAACCAGAGUGCAGCUUUGUUUGGCACCAAACUUUCCUCCUGAGAUGAUCGCACAAGAAGUCUUUUAUCACUUUGGCGGCUCUGAGCCAGAGCUGCUUGUGGUGGAAGUCGUCGGGACUGUAACCCCGGGCUGUCGUGGGAUGAGAGUCAAGCUUGGGCUGUCAGCAAGGCAAGUUGCAGCAGUCGGAGCCCCUGCCAGGACACGUCAGUACUUCUGAGCGUGCUUCCCCCGGUGCUGCUCUCAUUAAGGAAAAGUUUUCUCACAGGGCUGAUUCACCUUCUGUGUGACCAGUGCUGUGUUAGCGUCGGCAUCGUCACCUCUGCUUCAUGCCCAGGUUUAUGCUGAGGAAUGAGGGCCCUGCUGAACUACUGGACUGAUGCUCUCUUCAGGCACCUCGGGGCACCCAGAGCCACCGGCUGCUCUUGCUCACAGCUCCUUCCCCCCAGUCCUUUCACAAUGCUGGCCAACAAUACCUUGAGGAGGGGAUGGUGACACUGAGCCCAAGAAAUGCUGUCAGAGGGUAAGAAUCAAUUUUAAAGGGGAAAACGAAAAACCACGUUAUUGUGUAAGCAAGUCGGAAAACGGCUUUCAGCAAGUUCCCAGGUAUUUUAUGUGCUGUUCUCCCUGCAACAUUAUUAGCAACGACGCUGCGUGUGGCUGGCUGACUAGUGAGCAUGGAUGGUUUUGCAACAGCUGUGUGCCCAGUACCUUCCUUUGCAAGCGGUGCCUUUUCUCUAGCUGUCCCCAUGGCUCCGUUUAUUUGUAUGCAAGGCAACUGCGAGGUGAUCGAGGCUUUCCAUCAGCUGUACAAACUCAUAGCAGAAUCAGCUCUGUGUGUGUCCCUUUCUGAGAAUUACAAUUUGGGGGUUGUAACCUCUUGGGCAGCUUCUGUGAGCGAUCUGAUCUUUACGUAUUGCUCUGGAGGAAUUGUUGCCUAUGCUCAUGCUAUGGAGUAUCUAUAGCCAUCUGUAUAAGAAAGAAGCAGCAUAUUUGCUUGUUUGUUUUCCAGCCUCCCUGUAGAAUGGUUCUAAAAGCAGAAGUAUCUUUCACUAUGGAAAAAAAAUUGACAAAAACAUCCUCAUAUUUGUCAAAAUUUUCUUAGAUGUUUUUCAGGGUAUCACUAAGACCUGCCAGGCUCCUCCCCUGCAUUACCCCAAACAUUUCCAUUUUUGGCUAAAAAAUCUCAAGUUUGGGAUUUUUUUGACCAACAAUGUCAGCCAAAACCCAAGCUUUUUUCUCUGAUUUUUUCCACUUAAUUUUUAAGGUAUCUUCUGACAAAAGAGAAAUAUUGUUUUGAUGGAAAAUUUUCAACCAGCUCUGCUCUUUAGUUUCUGCCUACAGUCAUACAGGCAAAACAGUGCAUCUUCCAAGAGAGGAGACUGUCCGAAAGGCCAAACAUGAGGCAGUGAUGACUAAUGCUUCUCGCCCCAGCUCUGCGCCUCAGCCAUGAUUGUGCUCUUCUGCAGGCCUGAGCCCUUAAUGAGAGCCAUCUUUCUAGAGAUGUUUCCAGCCUAAAUCUCUCUUGGCAAGUCAGCUCAGUAGUUCAGGUGCUUUGCCAGGUUAAAGGAAGAUGUGGGUGGCACGGAAGGAUCUCCUCUGAAUGAAGGACCAUGGGAUCUGGAGGAGCCAUAUUGUGCAUCACUUACCUGUGUUGACUAAUACUUGGAGCCCUUCAGGUAAGUACCAGUUGGUAAGGAAGGGCGGGGAGAUGGAGCUAGUCCAGCUCACUUUCAAGUCAAGCUUCAGUGUGCCGUUGUUUAAUGGAGAUGUUUAGCUACACCAGCAACUGAGCCAUAUACAGCCAUGAAUGGUCUCAGUGUAACGCUGAGGGCCUCAGGGACAAGAUCCUGAAGUGGCUGAUGGGCUGAAGUGACAUCAGUCAUAGCAUUACUCCAUGACUAUUACCCUUCUGACCACGGGGAAGGUGUUUUUCACGCUGAAUCUGGAGCAUGAAUUCAAGGGCUGCCCAGCUCCCUUCAUUUCCUGCGUUCCUGUGAUGAACCCAGAGACAGAUAUUCCGGCAGAGGUGUACAGAAGCCAAAUUUCAGUGUUUGGCCUCUGCAGCCAAAGGACCACCUGCCCAUUAGCUACAUCUCCUGAGGGGGAUGGCCAUCCUACAGAAGUCCCUAAUAUUUGUGAAGAGCUCUGAUAUCUUUUAGUGAAAGGCCUUUUAGAUGUGCAAAAGUUUAUAGCCUUUCUCUGACCAUUGCUGAUUUUAGAGGGUUAAGUUAGGAGCAGGAAAUAGAGUGACUAAAGGAAAGCCAUUAAUAUUAAAUUCUACUCUUUGCCAGAUAGUCUUGUAUUAUCUUUGCUCUUUCACGAAAUAUGUUCCAGUUUUCCUUGCAGGGCAUUCUUUACGGGGGUAGCAACUGAGGAGCCGUAACUUGGCACAUCUCCACCUGCUUUUCUGUAGCAGUGCACAGUUGUGCUCUGGGAUUUGAAGAAUUUCCUUUGCCUCUACAAUUGAUAUGCAAACAGUCAGCUGUACAGACAUCAAUCUGUCCAGUCGACAAGCCUUGUGACCUAAGAAAUAAUACAGGUGGUCAGCACCAUGCUGGUGACUCCUGAAUUGCUGGAGUAAACAGACUCAUUUUACUAUGUCUGGAAGACAGGAGGUCCUGUAUAUACCCUCCAGUAAUGUAAUCUGCUGUGCUUGACUGAUCACAAAACACCCACCAGGAUUUCCUGAACAAAAUGCUCGAUUUUUGCCAAGAAAAGCAAAGAUUUGCAGGGAAUGAGAACUGUGACCUUGCCACCUCACAAAUAGCUUGGAGAUCUCAAGAUGCUCAUCUCAGCAGAGAGAUUCUCAUGCCAGAGCAAAUGUAGAGCCCUGUGUGGUCAACGCACAGCUCUUCCAGCAUCCCUUUCUUUACCUCCUCCAACAGGCAUCAACUGUUGUGAUAAAAGCAGAAAUGGACCGACGUAGUCUUUCCCUCCCUGUUUUUUGUGUUGCUGUAAGUCACACAAUGUAUUUGUGCUGCUCUGUGAGCAGGUAUGGAGUGAGGGAUUUUAAGACCAGGAGAGAUGAACAUUGCCCGCUACAUAAUCCAGCUCAUACCAUCUUUCCCACUAGUGAUUUCAUCCCAGCCAAAUGCUAUGUGCUUGAGCUGUUGUGCCCCAUGUAGACAGUUAAAGUCUAUAGGAAAAGAAAAAUUUCAGCCCAGAGAGCCCCAUGCCACUAAGCAGGCUGUGCUCUGGGACAAUCGUCGCUUCUGUUAAAAAGAAGUCUUUUGUUCCCCAUUGAUAUUUCUCAGGUUGCAAGGAGAGCCAUUCUUGUGCUCCUGAAGGCCCUAGCUGCAGACACAGCCUUGGAAGGGAUGCUUGCUCUCAUGGCUACGGCAAAGGAACGGGAAGCACGAGAUCUGGCAGGAAGUCCUACUCCCAUUGAAGCCAGUGGGACGUUUGCCAUUGCCUUCAGGGGAAGCCAAGAUUUCAGUCUGCAGCCAGAUUUACUGGCCAGAAACUUUUUGAGGAAGAUACUGGCUGCAUGGUUUAUGCCUGUUGUACUGUCCCUUGACUGGACCUCCUGGACAUCCCCACCAGCAAAAUCACACCCUCCCUUGUGGAAUAUGGACAGUGCAAGAGAACAGCAUCGAGUAACAGAACAGGGCCAGGCUAAGUGGCUUAAAUAAAACAAAACAUGGGAUUUGCUUCAGGAUUGUCUCUUUCUAUUCAUCGUGUGGGUUUGGUCUCUACUGCCCCUUUCUGGGAACAUCUGUAAACGCAUCACAUCUAUACAAAAAGUCAUGAAGUUGUAUCUCCUGGACCAAGAAGCUGGCCUGACUCCUCUCAUCUGCCCAGAUGCGAGAUGUUUGACAGCAUCUUCUCUGCCUGGUUAGCCACAGCCUGUGUUCUCUGGCCACAUGGGACUUGGUCUCAUUCCUUUGAUAUUUCCACAAAGAGCUCCUUUCUGCAAGCUGAAGCAAAGCUACCCAGAAGUUCCGUGCUGGUGCAGUAGCGCACCCCAGUGUUACCUCGUUAGGCAGAGAGAUUUUUACAGGCAAAAGUACUCUUUCCCCUAUUAAUGAACAGGGAGGAACGGGGAAGAAAGACAGGAGAAGGAGCUUGCGAGGGAGGAGACGAAAGCUGUGCUUCUGCCCUGGAAGAAGUCAGAGAUACAGGGGACCCAGCACCUCACACCCUCACACGGAGGGAUUACAGAACCCCCUUCUCGCUGCAGGUGACAGCAGGCCCCAGUGCCUGCUCAGAGGGAUGUGCGAGGUGGGGGCGGCUGGGCUGGCUGCCACAUCACCACAGGAUGUACCGUUAAACAGAGAAGGCAUAAGCCAUAUCCCCUGAUCCAGGUCAGCGCUGCAGAUAAGGUAUGAAGCUGGCUGUGAGCCAGGUCUUGGGACUGCUGCUGCGCAGCAGCAGAACAGACACAGGCUUUGUGCUUCUUUCCAGAUACAAGCACCUAAACCGUCACCUUGUUCCUGAAGACGUUAAGUUUCAUCCCAUGACCCUUCCAGAGGAGACAACAGGAGUAGUGCUCCUAUGCAGAGAUGUCCAUGACUAAGUUUGGACUGGCUGAGCUAGAUGAGCGCUUCGAACAGGAGACCAUUAGAAGAGGCAAGGUGUAACCUGAUGCUACCAAACAUGCACUCAGAGUAACCUCCAUAGCUCAAUUAACUAUAUUCAGUAUAUGCCUAUAAUUAACUUAAUUUAACUGAGGUUUUCUUCCCUGUGUUGUGUGCCUACUCUUCAACCUCUUAAACUUGUUGCUGUGUAUAUAAUUCGAUCGAGUGUACAUACAGUGCCCACAAAAGCUGAGUCACUCCAGACACCAGGGAGAGUAUUGUUUUGCUGUGUUUGGCUCAGACUUCUGCCUUAACACGGAGAGGUUCCUUCACUGAAAUCAGUUGUGCUACAUCAGUCCAAAACCAGAGCAAAGCCCAACAUAUCAAUGCUUAUCAAUAUCUAAAGGGCAGGUGUCAAGAGGAUGGGUACACUCUUUUCAGUGGUGCCCAGUGAUAGGACAAGGGGCAGCGGGCACAAACCAGAGCACUGGAAGGUGCACUUGCAUGUGAAGAAAAACUUCUUUCCUGUGAGGGUGAUGGAACACUGGAACAGGCUGCCCUGGGACGCGUUCCUGUGUGACGUGCUUGAGGUGAACCUGCUUUAGGAGGGGGUUGGACUGGAUGAGCUCCAGAGGCCCCUUCCAACCCCCACCAUUCUCAGAUUCUGUGAUUUAUAAAUUAUUUGCAAUAGAGGCAUCGUAUUCUAUAUAAUGCCACGUCCUGAACGUGGAUGUGGUUUGCUACAGCUGCCUUCCUAGUCUCCUACUAGAAAACAAUGAAAUAAAGAUAGAAAGGAUAUUUAUCUCUUUUUUUUUUUUGCCAUCAAUAUCAGAAUUGUCAGCAGGUUCCUGUCACCUCACAGUGCCUUAUAGGAGCCUUCCCUGUGUAUGCUACCGAAAUGGGCCUUUGUUUUGUUCUUUCCAGUUGAUAAUGAAGGCCUGAAAAGCUCUAAAUAGGUUUUUGUUUUAAGCCUUUAAUUCUUUCUCCAUUAGGACCACCGGCAGACUUUCUGGACAGACAGAAA